rnacentral:lncRNA from 1 species
GUGUAACGUUUGAAAAAACUCCAACAUUAAUUUAAUAUCCCAAUUCCCAAAAAGAAUGUCUAUUUUUUUAAUUUAUUUUGUGAAGUUCAAUAUCAUUAUAAGAUCCCAAGCCGACCCUGUAUACAGCCAUGAAGUAUUGCAGCAACAUUUCAAUGUGUUACAAGAUUCCUGUUUAUUUGAGACGCAAAAACAGAAUUUGUAAGAAGUGUUGACAAAAGUACAGUUCUAAUGCGUAGAUGAACUUUCUAGAACAAAUCUUGAACUGAAAGUUGAGUUCUUGUCAACUAAGCAUCCCUAAGGAUCAAAAUCGCUCGGUACUUCCGUCGUAUUUUUCCCAGGUAGUAGCUUCAGAGCGAAGCGCAAAUUAGUCCAGCUUUACGUCCCGAGGUGAUAGCAUCCUGCUCCUCGGCUGGUACUCGCUUGAAUUAGGGCGUAGUCCCUUUGUUCCCCGCCGGUAAAAUGUAGAAUGGUCGCUGUGAAGAUCUGAAUGUGUGGUGAGUGCUCUGAGAGGAUUUUUUCCACAUAGUGUUGGAUUUGUUAUGGAAAAUCGAAGCCUCUUGAAGAGUCAAACACGCAGUUCUACAACCCGGCAUUGUUGCCCAUUGUGUAGAAGUCUUUGUUUGUUCCUGUCCCUAUGCAUUUUCCAGUUGAUUGCCCUGAAAAGUUCCAAUUUCCCAGAAGAGCCCCCUUUGUGAUUUGUGUAUGGAAUGUCUACCCCACACCCCACCCUCCAAUGAUUGCCCUGAAAUUGAAGAAAGAAGCCAUGUCUUCCCCCUGCCCCCUGUUUGUUGAUGAACUCCCACCCUGUAGUUUGUGACUGUGACGAAGAGUUUUUUUGUUUUUAAGGUAUGAUACGUUUUUUAAUUUUACUAAAUUUCAAGUGGAUAAAUUUCUGGUAAAUAAUUGUAUAAAGAAAUUUGCUUUCAUAAUGGUAAAAAAAGGCAGUGACUUAUGACAUUUGACAGCUACGUCAAAUCUUGUGUUGAAAUAAAUAGGUCAAAUUUUAUUUGACAUAUACUGCCCAACAAAUUUAAUUUUAAUUGUUUUGUUUGUAAUCAUUGUUUUUGUAGUAAAAUUUUGAAUAAACCUGGUAAGAGUUUAAAGUUUUGAAUAAACGUUUUGUAAGUGUA